UGGGAAGCAGCCAAUCAGGGCCCAGCAGGCUAGUAUAAGAAGAGCUGCAGGGCCAGAGCAAGUUCAGUUCCUUGCUGGAGAAGAGUGGAUGGUGUUCCAGGCUGUCUGCUGGGAUGCCAUCAGGACAAGGCCCUGAGAAUUCACCACCAGAAGGGUGAGACUCCUGAGCAUUGGAAAAUGAGCUUUCCCAUCAGCUGGACUAGCUCCAGGAACACAUGAGGAGGAGCAUGAAUCUCACCACUUCCAGAACAAAGUAAAAAGAUCAUUAUCUUGAGACAGACCACAGCUGGAGCUGUUCCAGCAGGGAUUGUAUUUCAAGAGAUACAACCCCACCCAGAGCUUCUUGGAGAGCAGGACACUGUCUUGGGGUCAUGGCCUCCAAGUGAAAGUUCUUUGGAGCCAGGACCUUGUCAUGGUGCAUUUGUUUGAAAAGUGACCAGCACAUUUUUGGCACUGCAGAAAUAAUAAAUAAAGGCAAAAACAAUAAUGAAUGAA